rnacentral:rRNA from 1 species
AUUGAACGCUGGCGGCAUGCUCUACACAUGCAAGUCGAACGGUAACAGGCCGCAAGGUGCUGACGAGUGGCGCACGGGUGAGUAAUGCAUCGGAACGUGCCCAGUCGUGGGGGAUAACUACUCGAAAGAGUAGCUAAUACCGCAUACGAUCUAUGGAUGAAAGCGGGGGACCGUAAGGCCUCGCGCGAUUGGAGCGGCCGAUGUCAGAUUAGGUAGUUGGUGGGGUAAAGGCGCACCAAGCCAACGAUCUGUAGCUGGUCUGAGAGGACGACCAGCCACACUGGAACUGAGACACGGCCCAGACUCCUACGGGAGGCAGCAGUGGGGAAUUUUGGACAAUGGGCGCAAGCCUGAUCCAGCAAUGCCGCGUGCAGGAAGAAGGCCUUCGGGUUGUAAACUGCUUUUGUACGGAACGAAACGGCUCUGGUUAAUACCCGGGGCUAAUGACGGUACCGUAAGAAUAAGCACCGGCUAACUACGUG